rnacentral:rRNA from 1 species
UAACGUGUGGGCAACCUGCCCUGUACUGGGGAAUAAUCAUUGGAAACGAUGACUAAUACCGCAUGUGGUCCUCGGAAGGCACCUUCUGAGGAAGAAAGGAUUUAUUCGGUACAGGAUGGGCCCGCAUCUGAUUAGCUAGUUGGUGAGAUAACAGCCCACCAAGGCGACGAUCAGUAGCCGACCUGAGAGGGUGAUCGGCCACAUUGGGACUGAGACACGGCCCAA